UUGACAGACAAAAGUGUCCGAUGAAGUGUUGAACAGACUGGAGGAGGAGCUGAUAUAAAUGAACAGGCUCAGGGCCAGCAGAUGAAUCAGGGGCUCAAAGAGAGAGCAGAUGACCAAGAUGACCGCUUAUCUGAUGAAGACAUCUGUGCAUCUGCCAGUGAAACAGUGAAGAGGCCAAAGCUCUCUGCCCUCGAGGAGCUGUUUGCUGUAGAGGACAUGGAAAUAAAGUAAGAAAAGAGACAACCAGCAGUACAGAGACGU